CCUACGGGCGGCAGCAGUGAGGAAUAUUGGUCAAUGGGCUUACGCCUGAACCAGCCAAGUCGCGUGAGGGAAGACUGCCCUAUGGGUUGUAAACCUCUUUUGUCAGGGAGCAACGCCGGCUACGUGUAGCCGGACUGAGAGUACCUGAAGAAAAAGCAUCGGCUAACUCCGUGCCAGCAGCCGCGGUAAUACGGAGGAUGCGAGCGUUAUCCGGAUUUAUGGGGGUUAAAGGGUGCGUAGGCGGAAUGCCAAGUCAGCGGUAAAAUCGCGGGGCUCAACCUCGCUCCGCCGUUGAAACUGGCGUUCUUGAGUGGGCGAGAAGUAUGCGGAAGGCGUGGUGUAGCGGUGAAAUGCAUAGAUAUCACGCAGAACUCCGAUUGCGAAGGCAGCAUACCGGCGCCCAACUGACGCUGAAGCACGAAAGCGUGGGUAUCGAACAGGAUUAGAUACCCCAGUAGUC
rnacentral:rRNA from 1 species